rnacentral:rRNA from 1 species
GUCCUCUUGUUUAUAUAUGAGGUCUGACCUGCCCAGUGAAAAUUUUUAAACGGCCGCGGUAUCUUGACCGUGCAAAGGUAGCAUAAUCAUUAGUCUUUUAAUAGGAGGCUGGUAUGAAGGGUUUGACGAAUUGUUAACUGUCUCAUUUAAUUUGAAAUUAAAAUUUAACUUUUCAGUUAAAAGGCUGAAAUAAAUUUGGAAGACGAGAAGACCCUAUAGAGCUUUAUAAAUAAAGAUUUUAUUUGAAUUUUUGUUUAAUUAUAUUAAUUUAUUAUCUUAUUUAUUUUGUUGGGGUGACAAAAAUAUAUAUUUAACUUUUUUAUUUAUAUAACAUUGAUUUAUGAUUACUAGAUCCAUUCAUAAUGAUUGAUAGAUUAAGUUACCUUAGGGAUAACAGCGUAAUCUUCCUUCAGAGUUCACAUUUACAGGAAGGCUUGCGACCUCGAUGUUGGAUUAAGAUAAUAAUUAGGUGUAGCCGCUUAAUGUAUAGGUCUGUUCGACCUUUAAAUUCUU